CCUCUCCCUUUCUCGAGCCAUCGAAGAUUUGAACUUCGAAGGUCGUUAAAUUUCGAGUCUCGUGCAAUUAGAAGGGAGGCUCGAGAUAAGCUGUAUGCAUGUGGUUUUUCAAUUGGCAAUUUGUGUUUGUUUCAUCACAUCAUGAUUUGUGAUUAGGAUGAUUGGCUUAUUAUGAGAAUGAUGGAAUUUAUGUUUAUGGGUUAGAA